AAGUGAUAAUCUGUCAAACGUGACGAGAUCUUCUGAAAUCUCUUUGUUUCUAAGAAGCAGUGACUGAUUAUGUAAUAAGAAAAGUCUUCUUGGUUGGUGCUCAGAUAUUUUCCCUCCCUGCAGUGUUUAACAUCAGCUCAUGCCCCAUCACGUUUUAUGGACAGAAGUACGAACAAAUCUAUGUGAACUCCACAAAUGUCUGUUUCAUUGACCUUUUCAACAAUCAAACCAGACAGGACUGUAUUGUAGGGUUUCCAUUGUUGGCAGACAAGGCUCUGUUUGACAUAAAUCCAUUUCCAUCAAAGGAUGCGGAAAAUGAUAUCCAUAAGACUUUACCAACUAUUAAGGGCAACAUAAAAUGCCUAGUAGUGUUAU